rnacentral:misc_RNA from 1 species
GAUGAAGAACGCAGCGAAAUGCGAUAAGUAAUGUGAAUUGCAGAAUUCAGUGAAUCAUCGAAUCUUUGAACGCAUAUUGCGCCCCUUGGUAUUCCGAGGGGCAUGCCUGUCCGAGCGUCAUUGCAACCCUUCAAGCACGGCUUGUGUGUUGGACGGCCGCCCCAGUGUGGGCGGGUCCCAAAUGCAGUGGCGGCGCCGCGAUCCGGGUGCUCGAGUGCAUGGAAACCACGCGCUCGUUAGGCCCCGUCGGGCGCCGGCCGACCUAAUUAUCUUCGUUCUGGUUGACCUCGGAUCAGGUAGGAAUACCCGCUGAACUUAAGCAUAUCAAUAAGCGGAGGA